rnacentral:rRNA from 1 species
CCUACGGGAGGCAGCAGUGAGGAAUAUUGGUCAAUGGGCGCGAGCCUGAACCAGCCAAGUAGCGUGUAGGAUGACUGCCCUACGGGUUGUAACCUUCUUUUAUCAAGGAAUAAAGUGAGGCACGUGUGCCUUUUUGUCUGUACUUUAUGAAUAAGGAUCGGCUACCUCCGUGCCAGCAGCCGCGGUAAUACGGAGGAUCCGAGCGUUAUCCGGAUUUAUUGGGUUUAAAGGGAGCGUAGAUGGGUUGUUAAGUAAGUUGUGAAAGUUUGGGGCUCAACCGUAAAAUUGCAAUUGAUACUGGCAGUCUUGAGUACAGUUGAGGUAGGCGGAAUGCGUGGUGUAGCGGUGAAAUGCUUAGAUAUCGCGAAGAACUCCGAUUGCGAAGGCAGCUUACUAAACUGCCACUGACAUUGAUGCUCGAAAGUGUGGGUAUCAAACAGGAUUAGAUACACCUGUAGUC